rnacentral:lncRNA from 1 species
AACACUUGACAAAUAAAAGCCGAAAGCUUUAGUUUCCGGACUUGGUACUACAAAACCAUAGAUUGUCUUAAAUGGAUUGUAUAUGUACCUAAGUAGUCUCAUCCUCAAAAUCUUCCUAUAGGUAAUGUAUCAUUGGAAGAACAUGUUAGAAAAGUCUAUCAUAAGAGGACAACACAAACAACCAAUUUAAUCCUUUGUUAAAUGAACAAAGGAACUUACGAAGAUUAACAUAAUGACAAGGACACUUUUAGUGUUAUUAGUUCUUCACUUACAAAUUGUUGUAUGAAGAAAUAAGAGUUGCUUUGAACAACCCUUAGUCAAUGCAAACACUAGUGCUUGUUUCUUUGUUAAAUGAACAAAGAACUUGAGAAGAAAGCACAAAGGCAUGGACACUUUAUGUGCCAUGAUUCUUCACUUACAAAUUGUUGUAUGAAGAAAUAAGAGUUGCCUUGUACAACUCUUGAAAGUUUGUAAUUAUGUUUAGAACAUAAUGGUU